rnacentral:rRNA from 1 species
CUACGGGAGGCACCAGUGGGGAAUAUUGCACAAUGGGCGCAAGCCUGAUGCAGCCAUGCCGCGUGUAUGAAGAAGGCCUUCGGGUUGUAAAGUACUUUCAGCGGGGAGGAAGGGAGUAAAGUUAAUACCUUUGCUCAUUGACGUUACCCGCAGAAGAAGCACCGGCUAACUCCGUGCCAGCAGCCGCGGUAAUACGGGGGGUGCAAGCGUUAAUCGGAAUUACUGGGCGUAAAGCGCACGCAGGCGGUUUGUAAGUCAGAUGUGAAAUCCCCGGGCUCAACCUGGGAACUGCAUCUGAUACUGGCAAGCUUGAGUCUCGUAGAGGGGGGUAGAAUUCCAGGUGUAGCGGUGAAAUGCGUAGAGAUCUGGAGGAAUACCGGUGGCGAAGGCGGCCCCCUGGACGAAGACUGACGCUCAGGUGCGAAAGCGUGGGGAGCAAACAGGAUUAGAUACCCGCGUAGUC